rnacentral:rRNA from 1 species
UCGCACGGUAACAUUUCUAGCUUGCUAGAAGAUGACGAGUGGCGGACGGGUGAGUAAUGCUUGGGAACUUGCCUUUGCGAGGGGGAUAACAGUUGGAAACGACUGCUAAUACCGCAUAAUGUCUUCGGACCAAACGGGGCUUCGGCUCCGGCGCAAAGAGAGGCCCAAGUGAGAUUAGCUAGUUGGUAAGGUAACGGCUUACCAAGGCGACGAUCUCUAGCUGUUCUGAGAGGAAGAUCAGCCACACUGGGACUGAGACACGGCCCAGACUCCUACGGGAGGCAGCAGUGGGGAAUAUUGCACAAUGGGGGAAACCCUGAUGCAGCCAUGCCGCGUGUGUGAAGAAGGCCUUCGGGUUGUAAAGCACUUUCAGUUGUGAGGAAAAGUUAGUAGUUAAUACCUGCUAGCCGUGACGUUAACAACAGAAGAAGCACCGGCUAACUCCGUGCCAGCAGCCGCGGUAAUACGGAGGGUGCGAGCGUUAAUCGGAAUUACUGGGCGUAAAGCGCACGCAGGCGGUUUUGUUAAGCCAGAUGUGAAAGCCCCGGGCUCAACCUGGGAUG